AGUGAACGCUGGCGGUAGGCCUAACACAUGCAAGUCGAACGGCAGCACAGUAAGAGCUUGCUCUUACGGGUGGCGAGUGGCGGACGGGUGAGGAAUACAUCGGAAUCUACUUUUUCGUGGGGGAUAACGUAGGGAAACUUACGCUAAUGCCGCAUACGACCUACGGGUGAAAGCAGGGGAUCUUCGGACCUUGCGCGAUUGAAUGAGCCGAUGUCGGAUUAGCUAGUUGGCGGGGUAAAGGCCCACCAAGGCGACGAUCCGUAGCUGGUCUGAGAGGAUGAUCAGCCACACUGGAACUGAGACACGGUCCAGACUCCUACGGGAGGCAGCAGUGGGGAAUAUUGGACAAUGGGCGCAAGCCUGAUCCAGCCAUACCGCGUGGGUGAAGAAGGCCUUCGGGUUGUAAAGCCCUUUUGUUGGGAAAGAAAAGCAGCAGGUUAAUACCCCGCUGUUCUGACGGUACCCAAAGAGUAAGCACCGGCUAACUUCGUG
rnacentral:rRNA from 1 species